rnacentral:misc_RNA from 1 species
GAAACAACCAUCGUUGUUAGCAAGGACCUCCACGGCGGGUAACUUUGCAAAUGUGUUAUUGAUUUAAGUUGGCAAUAGGAUCCUUGGCUCGAGCCAUCCUUAUCCGUUUUCAUCUACUACCUUAGGUCUAUUGUUCUGGGCUCAAGCCUUCUGUUUUUCUGUCCUUAAUGGUGUUGGGCUUGGGCCUUUUUAAAGCUUGUAUCUUUU